CUCGGCCCUCUCUCUAACCACAAAAACCUUAUCAUACCAAGUACCAACACACAGUCUCUCUCACCUAACAGAGCAUUUACACUACCCUUAUGACGCAACAAGCAUUCAUGACCACCACUAAAAUCUUGAAGGCAAGGCAGAGAGAGAAAGAAGAUUACUAAAAAAGCCUUACGGUAAGGAGAAAGAGAGAAAAAGAGAAGGAAAUGGUGGUCACACACACACACACACCAAUCAUCAUCACUCAUUCUUGUAUAGCUUUUUCUACCUUCAAAAGUCAAUCAGUCUUCUUCCUCCUAUCUCCCAAAGUUUCCUAU